rnacentral:rRNA from 1 species
UACGAAGGGGGCUAGCGUUGCUCGGAAUCACUGGGCGUAAAGGGUGCGUAGGCGGGUCUUUAAGUCAGAGGUGAAAUCCUGGAGCUCAACUCCAGAACUGCCUUUGAUACUGAAGAUCUUGAGUUCGGGAGAGGUGAGUGGAACUGCGAGUGUAGAGGUGAAAUUCGUAGAUAUUAGGAAGAACACCAGUGGCGAAGGCGGCUCACUGGCCCGGUACUGACGCUGAGGCGCGAAAGCGUGGGGAGCAAACAGG